rnacentral:rRNA from 1 species
AUUGAACGCUGGCGGCAGGCCCAACACAUGCAAGUCGAGCGGAUGAAGGGAGCUUGCUCCUGGAUUCAGCGGCGGACGGGUGAGUAAUGCCUAGGAAUCUGCCUGGUAGUGGGGGAUAACGUCCGGAAACGGGCGCUAAUACCACAUACGUCCUGAGUGUGAAAGUGGGGGAUCUUCGGACCUCACGCUACCAGAUGAGCCUAGGUCGGAUUAGCUAGUUGGUGGGGUAAAGGCCUACCAAGGCGACGAUCCGUAACUGGUCUGAGAGGAUGAUCAGUCACACUGGAACUGAGACACGGUCCAGACUCCUACGGGAGGCAGCAGUAGGGAAUAUUGGGCAAUGGGCGAAAGCCUGAUGCAGCCAUGCCGCGUGUGUGAAGAAGGUCUUCGGAUUGUAAAACACUGUAAGUUGGGAAGAAGGGCAGUAAGUUAAUACCUUGCUGUUUUGACGGUACCAACAGAAUAAGCACCGGCUAACUUCGUG